GGGGCAUAAGGAUCUAAAUGAACAAAAAUAAAGAAAACUGGGGCUUUUGUAAUUUUUGGAAGUCCAGCCACAUCAACAUGUGAUGUAGCCACGCGGCUAAUAGCAACAUACACAUACGCUCUAGGUAUUUCCUGCCCAAGCCAAUCCAAAAGCCAUGGCCCGUCCUUGUUAUGUUAUUGAUGGAUGACCAUGAUCGUGUGGGUUUGUUGAUCCGAUGACUAAGAGGCUAUCUCACGCGGAUUACAAUCUAAUGGUAUGCGUGUGUCGCGAUCAU
rnacentral:lncRNA from 1 species